UGGGGAAUUUUGGACAAUGGGCGCAAGCCUGAUCCAGCCAUGCUGCGUGCAGGAUGAAGGCCUUCGGGUUGUAAACUGCUUUUGUACGGAACGAAAAGGUGCCUUCUAAUAAAGGGCGCUCAUGACGGUACCGUAAGAAUAAGCACCGGCUAACUACGUGCCAGCAGCCGCGGUAAUACGUAGGGUGCGAGCGUUAAUCGGAAUUACUGGGCGUAAAGCGUGCGCAGGCGGUUUUGUAAGACAGAUGUGAAAUCCCCGGGCUUAACCUGGGAACUGCGUUUGUGACUGCAAGGCUGGAGUACGGCAGAGGGGGGUGGAAUUCCACGUGUAGCAGUGAAAUGCGUAGAGAUGUGGAGGAACACCGAUGGCGAAGGCAGCCCCCUGGGCCUGUACUGACGCUCAUGCACGAAAGCGUGGGGAGCAAACA
rnacentral:rRNA from 1 species